AUUGAACGCUGGCGGCAUGCUUUACACAUGCAAGUCGAACGGCAGCGCGGGGGCAACCCUGGCGGCGAGUGGCGAACGGGUGAGUAAUGUAUCGGAACGUAUCCUGUAAUGGGGGAUAACCAGUCGAAAGAUUGGGUAAUACCGCAUACGCACGAGAGUGGAAAGUAGGGGAUCGCAAGACCUUACGUUAUAGGAGCGGCCGAUAUCUGAUUAGCUAGUUGGUGGGGUAAAGGCCUACCAAGGCGACGAUCAGUAGCUGGUCUGAGAGGACGACCAGCCACACUGGGACUGAGACACGGCCCAGACUCCUACGGGAGGCAGCAGUGGGGAAUUUUGGACAAUGGGCGAAAGCCUGAUCCAGCCAUGCCGCGUGCAGGAAGAAGGCCUUCGGGUUGUAAACUGCUUUAGUCUAGGAAAAAGGGGUGCGAGGUUAAUACCCUCGUGCUUUGAUGGUACUGGAAGAAUAAGCACCGGCUAACCUACGUG
rnacentral:rRNA from 1 species